rnacentral:rRNA from 1 species
AAUUCCGUCGGAAUCCGGGAGGACCAUCUCCCAAGGCUAAAUACUCCCUAGUGACCGAUAGUGAACCAGUACCGUGAGGGAAAGGUGAAAAGCACCCCGGAAGGGGAGUGAAAUAGAUCCUGAAACCGUGUGCCUACAACAAGUUAGAGCCCGUUAAUGGGUGAUAGCGUGCCUUUUGUAGAAUGAACCGGCGAGUUACGAUUACUUGCGAGGUUAAGUUGAAAAGACGGAGCCGCAGCGAAAGCGAGUCUGAAUAGGGCGAAUGAGUAAGUGGUCGUAGACCCGAAACCAUGUGAUCUACCCAUGUCCAGGUUGAAGGUGCGGUAAAACGCACUGGAGGACCGAACCCACGUACGUUGAAAAGUGCGGGGAUGAGGUGUGGGUAGCGGAGAAAUUCCAAACGAACUUGGAGAUAGCUGGUUCUCUCCGAAAUAGCUUUAGGGCUAGCCUCAGAGUAAGAAUGAUGGAGGUAGAGCACUGUUUGGACUAGGGGCCCAUCUCGGGUUACCGAAUUCAGAUAAACUCCGAAUGCCAUCCAUUCAUCUCUGGGAGUCAGACUGUGAGUGAUAAGAUCCAUAGUCGAAAGGGAAACAGCCCAGACCACCAGCUAAGGUCCCCAAAUAACUAUUAAGUGGAAAAGGAUGUGGGGUUGCACAGACAACUAGGAUGUUGGCUUAGAAGCAGCCACCAUUUAAAGAGUGCGUAAUAGCUCACUAGUCGAGUGACCCUGCGCCGAAAAUGUACCGGGGCUAAAUAGUUUACCGAAGCUGUGGAACACACCAAUGGUGUGUUGGUAGGAGAGCGUUCUAAGGGCGUUGAAGGUAGAUCGUGAGGACUGCUGGAGCGCUUAGAAGUGAGAAUGCCGGUAUGAGUAGCGAAAGACAGGUGAGAAUCCUGUCCACCGAAUGACUAAGGUUUCCUGGGGAAGGCUCGUCCGCCCAGGGUUAGUCGGGACCUAAGCCGAGGCCGAAAGGCGUAGGCGAUGGAUAACAGGUUGAUAUUCCUGUACCCGUUGUUUUUGUUUGAGCAAUGGAGGGACGCAGGAGGCUAAGGAAUCAGACGAUUGGAAAUGUCUGUCCAAGCAAUGAGUCUUGAUGUGAGUCAAAUGCUUACAUCUCUAAGGACAAGUUGUGAUGGGGAGGGAAAUAAUAGUACCGAAGUUCCUGAUGUCACACUGCCGAGAAAAGCUUCUAGUGAGAAAACAAUGGCCCGUACCGCAAACCGACACAGGUAGUCGAGGAGAGAAUCCUAAGGUGAGCGAGAGAACUCUCGUUAAGGAACUCGGCAAAAUGACCCCGUAACUUCGGGAGAAGGGGUGCUGAUCUAACGAUCAGCCGCAGUGAAUAGGCCCAAGCGACUGUUUAUCAAAAACACAGGUCUCUGCAAAAUCGAAAGAUGACGUAUAGGGGCUGACGCCUGCCCGGUGCUGGAAGGUUAAGAGGAGUGCUUAGCGUAAGCGAAGGUACGAAUUGAAGCCCCAGUAAACGGCGGCCGUAACUAUAACGGUCCUAAGGUAGCGAAAUUCCUUGUCGGGUAAGUUCCGACCCGCACGAAAGGCGUAAUGAUUUGGGCACUGUCUCAACGAGAGACUCGGUGAAAUUUUAGUACCUGUGAAGAUGCAGGUUACCCGCGACAGGACGGAAAGACCCCAUGGAGCUUUACUGCAGUUUGAUAUUGAGUGUUUGUACCACAUGUACAGGAUAGGUAGGAGCCGUAGAAGUCGGGACGCUAGUUUCGACAGAGGCGCUGGUGGGAUACUACCCUUGUGUUAUGACCACUCUAACCCGCACCACUAAUCGUGGUGGGAGACAGUGUCAGAUGGGCAGUUUGACUGGGGCGGUCGCCUCCUAAAGAGUAACGGAGGCGCCCAAAGGUUCCCUCAGAAUGGUUGGAAAUCAUUCGCAGAGUGUAAAGGUAUAAGGGAGCUUGACUGCGAGAGCAACAACUCGAGCAGGGACGAAAGUCGGGCUUAGUGAUCCGGUGGUUCCGCAUGGAAGGGCCAUCGCUCAACGGAUAAAAGCUACCCUGGGGAUAACAGGCUUAUCUCCCCCAAGAGUCCACAUCGACGGGGAGGUUUGGCACCUCGAUGUCGGCUC